GUCGGCAUUGCCGUGAGUCGUAUAAUUCAACCACCACACCCCCCUGCUACCAAUUUGCCUAUUUACCUCACAAAUUAUUAUUUGGGUGAGCUUCUACUAUACUUUAGUGUUAACUAUGGAAGACUCACAGAUGCCCUCAGAUCUUCAGGCACUGAUUAACGCAGCCGUGGCCGUAUCAAUGGAGAAGGCCUUAGCAAAGGCGUUACCAGCUAG